CCUUUCGGGGAGGACGCUCACCACUUUGUGGUUCAUGACUGGGGUGAAGUCGUAACAAGGUAGCCCUAGGGGAACCUGGGGCUGGAUCACCUCCUUAUACGAAGAUAC
rnacentral:rRNA from 1 species